AGUGAACGCUGGCGGUAGGCCUAACACAUGCAAGUCGAACGGCAGCACAGUAAGAGCUUGCUCUUACGGGUGGCGAGUGGCGGACGGGUGAGGAAUACAUCGGAAUCUACUUUUUCGUGGGGGAUAACGUAGGGAAACUUACGCUAAUACCGCAUACGACCUACGGGUGAAAGCAGGGGAUCUUCGGACCUUGCGCGAUUGAAUGAGCCGAUGUCGGAUUAGCUAGUUGGCGGGGUAAAGGCCCACCAAGGCGACGAUCCGUAGCUGGUCUGAGAGGAUGAUCAGCCACACUGGAACUGAGACACGGUCCAGACUCCUACGGGAGGCAGCAGUGGGGAAUAUUGGACAAUGGGCGCAAGCUUGAUCCAGCCAUACCGCGUGGGUGAAGAAGGCCUUCGGGUUGUAAAGCCCUUUUGUUGGGAAAGAAAAGCAGCAGGUUGAUACCCCGCUGUUCUGACGGUACCCAAAGAAUAAGCACCGGCUAACUUCGUG
rnacentral:rRNA from 1 species